rnacentral:rRNA from 1 species
AUUGAACGCUGGCGGCAGGCCUAACACAUGCAAGUCGAGCGGAAGAAGGGUGCUUGCUCCUGGAUUCAGCGGCGGACGGGUGUGUAAUGCCUAGGAAUCUGCCUGGCAGUGGGGGAUAACGUCCGGAAACGGGCGCUAAUACCGCAUACGUCCUGAGGGAGAAGGUGGGGGAUCUUCGGACCUCUUGCUAUCAGAUGAGCCUAGGUCGGAUUAGCUAGUUGGUGGGGUAAGGGCCUACCUAGGCGGCGAUCCGUAACUGGUCUGAGAGGAUGAUCAGUCACACUGGAACUGAGACACGGUCCAGACUCCUACGAGACGCAGCAGUGGGGAAUAUUGGGCAGUGGGCGAGAGCCUGAUACAGCCAUGCCGCGUGUGUGAAGAAGGUCUUCGGAUUGUAAAGCACUUUAAGUUGGGGGGAAGGGCAGUAAGUUAAUACCUUGCUGUUUUGACGGUACCGACAGAAUAAGCACCGGCUAACUUCGUG